UUCCGGCUCCAAUAGCGUACAUUAAAGUUGUUGCAGUUAAAAAGCUCGUAGUUGGAUUUCUGGUGUCGCAGUGCUUCCGCGUGUUUAAUUACAUGUCGAGUUGUGUUUGCGUCGCCAUCUUUUAGCAGCACCCUCCUGGCAUUAGGUUGUUGGGUUGGUAAUGCUAAUCGUUUACUGUGAAGAAAUUAGAGUGUUCAAAGCAGGCUUAUGCCGUUGAAUACGUUAGCAUGGAAUAAUAAGAUAAGACCUUGGUCUAUUUUGUUGGUUUGUACUCCAAGGUAAAGAUUAAUAGGGACAGUUGGGGGUAUUCGUAUUCAAUUGUCAGAGGUGAAAUUCUUGGAUUUAUGGAAGACGAACUACUGCGAAAGCAUUUACCAAGGAUGUUUUCAUUG
rnacentral:rRNA from 1 species